rnacentral:rRNA from 1 species
AAAGGAAUUGACGGGGACCCGCACAAGUAGCGGAGCAUGUGGUUUAAUUCGAAGCAACGCGAAGAACCUUACCUAAGCUUGACAUCCUUCGGACGGACAUUUAAUCAUGUCUUCCCUUCGGGGCUGAAGUGACAGGUGGUGCAUGGUUGUCGUCAGCUCGUGUCGUGAGAUGUUGGGUUAAGUCCCGCAACGAGCGCAACCCUUGUCUUUAGUUGCCAUCAUUAAGUUGGGCACUCUAGAGAGACUGCCAGGGAUAACCUGGAGGAAGGUGGGGAUGACGUCAAAUCAUCAUGCCCCUUAUGCUUAGGGCUACACACGUGCUACAAUGGGUGGUACAGAGGGCUGCCAAACCGUGAGGUCGAGCUAAUCCCUUAAAGCCAUUCUCAGUUCGGAUUGCAGGCUGAAACUCGCCUGCAUGAAGCUGGAGUUACUAGUAAUCGCAGAUCAGAAUGCUGCGGUGAAUGCGUUCCCGGGUCUUGUACACACCGCCCGU